UUUUUCUUCUGGUCUAUCCUUAAUUUGUCAAUCUUGAAAGAAUUUACUGGAAAAUGCCAGAAGCCUAACUGAGCAAGCAGCCAAGUGCUUGGAGGCUGAACUUACCUGAGUUUUUCAGAAUUGAUGGUCAUCACAAAAUCCAAAUAUGAUGAGAAGGAAGUAUCCUAACAGAAGCUAUAAAAGCAAACUGAAAUACAGAAAAACCC